CGCCUGUUUAUCAAAAACAUCGCCUCUUGUAAACUAAAAAUAAGAGGUCCCGCCUGCCCAGUGACAAUUAGUUAAACGGCCGCGGUAUUUUGACCGUGCAAAGGUAGCGCAAUCACUUGUCUUUUAAAUGAAGACCCGUAUGAAUGGCACAACGAGGGCCUAACUGUCUCCUUUUUCAAGUCAAUGAAAUUGAUCUCCCCGUGCAGAAGCGGGGAUAAGACCAUAAGACGAGAAGACCCUAUGGAGCUUUAGACACCAAAGCAGACCUUGUUAAAUACCCCAGACUAAAGGACCAAACCAAAAGAACCCUGCCAACAUGUCUUUGGUUGGGGCGACCGCGGGGAAUACAAAACCCCCAUGUGGAACGGGAGGACCCCUCCUACAACCAAGAGCCACAGCUCUAAGCAAUAGAAUUUCUAACCUAAAGAUCCGGCAAAGCCGAUCAACGAACCGAGUUACCCUAGGGAUAACAGCGCAAUCCCCUUCUAGAGUCCAUAUCGACAAGAGGGUUUACGACCUCGAUGUUGGAUCAGGACAUCCUAAUGGUGCAGCCGCUAUUAAGGGUUCGUUUGUUCAACGAUUAAAGUCCUACGUGAUCUGAGUUCAGAC
rnacentral:rRNA from 1 species